CCUGGGGGUGUGCUAGUACCGCAGUCGAGCUUGAUCUCUUCGGAGGUCAGCGGCGGACGGGUGAGUAACACGUGGGCAACCUGCCUGUAAGACUGGGAUAACUCCGGGAAACCGGAGCUAAUACCGGAUACUAUGUCAAACCGCAUGGUUUGACAUUCAAAGACGGUUUCGGCUGUCACUUACAGAUGGGCCCGCGGCGCAUUAGCUAGUUGGUGAGGUAAUGGCUCACCAAGGCGACGAUGCGUAGCCGACCUGAGAGGGUGAUCGGCCACACUGGGACUGAGACACGGCCCAGACUCCUACGGGAGGCAGCAGUAGGGAAUCUUCCGCAAUGGACGAAAGUCUGACGGAGCAACGCCGCGUGAGUGAUGAAGGUUUUCGGAUCGUAAAACUCUGUUGUCAGGGAAGAACAAGUGCCGGAGUAACUGCCGGCACCUUGACGGUACCUGACCAGAAAGCCACGGCUAACUACGUGCCAGCAGCCGCGGUAAUACGUAGGUGGCAAGCGUUGUCCGGAAUUAUUGGGCGUAAAGCGCGCGCAGGCGGUUUCUUAAGUCUGAUGUGAAAGCCCCCGGCUCAACCGGGGAGGGUCAUUGGAAACUGGGAAACUUGAGUGCAGAAGAGGAGAGUGGAAUUCCACGUGUAGCGGUGAAAUGCGUAGAGAUGUGGAGGAACACCAGUGGCGAAGGCGACUCUCUGGUCUGUAACUGACGCUGAGGCGCGAAAGCGUGGGGAGCGAACAGGAUUAGAUACCCUGGUAGUCCACGCCGUAAACGAUGAGUGCUAAGUGUUAGAGGGUUUCCGCCCUUUAGUGCUGCAGCUAACGCAUUAAGCACUCCGCCUGGGGAGUACGGUCGCAAGACUGAAACUCAAAGGAAUUGACGGGGGCCCGCACAAGCGGUGGAGCAUGUGGUUU
rnacentral:rRNA from 1 species